rnacentral:rRNA from 1 species
UGGGGAAUAUUGGACAAUGGGCGAAAGCCUGAUCCAGCCAUGCCGCGUGUGUGAAGAAGGUCUUCGGAUUGUAAAGCACUUUAAGUUGGGAGGAAGGGCAUUAACCUAAUACGUUAGUGUUUUGACGUUACCGACAGAAUAAGCACCGGCUAACUCUGUGCCAGCAGCCGCGGUAAUACAGAGGGUGCAAGCGUUAAUCGGAAUUACUGGGCGUAAAGCGCGCGUAGGGGGUUUGUUAAGUUGGAUGUGAAAUCCCCGGGCUCAACCUGGGAACUGCAUUCAAAACUGACUGACUAGAGUAUGGUAGAGGGUGGUGGAAUUUCCUGUGUAGCGGUGAAAUGCGUAGAUAUAGGAAGGAACACCAGUGGCGAAGGCGACCACCUGGACUAAUACUGACACGGAGGUGCGAAAGCGUGGGGAGCAAACA